UUUAAAAUCCAUUAAUUCAAUUUUUUAUAGAAUGUUGACAUUUUUAUUUUACAUAGUUAUAGGUACCUAAAAUAAAUUGGAAUUUGUCAUUGACGAAAUGGCUAAAAAGGUUAAUAAAACUAUUCUCAGGCUACCUCCUUACCACUGCAAGUUGAACCCCAUUGAAAUGGUUUGGUCAAUGGUAAAAGGCUAUGUUAAAGCUAACAAUACAACUUUCAAACCAGAGGAGGUGUUUCAAAUACCUGUUGCAUAAAGGUUUGGACAGAGUCCAAAGUGAAGAUUGGAAAUCGCUUAUUGAUCAUGUCAAGAAGGAGGAAGAGAAGUUUUGGAAUUUAGAUUUUAUUUUUGAUGAGCUCGUUGACAACCUUGUAGCUAAUCCCGAUCAUAUACUGACAAUUGAGAACUCUGAAUCCUCUGAAUUAUUAUGAUGACAAUUUUUAAUUAAUUUGUACAUAUACGCCAAGUAGGACUUAUAUAUUGUUAUAUUAAUUAAACCUACAUGUG